GGCCGGGUGGCGCAAUGGUAGCGCGCCAGUUUUCGGAAGUCAAUCUCAUACGAGAUUGGCGGAGAUCCACUGGAAGUUGCGGGUUCGAGCCCCGUCUCGGUCA